GACAUGGAGAUAUAUUUAACUCUUUAUUUUUGUUUUCAUUAAUUUAUGUUUAUUUGACCUUUUAUUAUUGUUUAAAGAUUUANAUACCUUAGGGAUAACAGCGUUAUUUUUCUUGAGAGUUCAUAUCGACAGAUAAGAUUGCGACCUCGAUGUUGGAUUAAGAUUAUUAUUAGGUGUAGUUGCUUAAUUAUUUAGGUCUGUUCGACCUUUAAAUUCUUACAUGAUCUGAGUUCAAAAC
rnacentral:rRNA from 1 species